CCAGGCAUGUAAAUGAAGCUUUCAUGUGUCCAGCCAAGCAGCUCUGAGCCUCACCCAGCAGCAGGAGCAGGCAGGGAGGUUGUUUUGGGUCUUUGCUGGUGGUUUUUAAGCGUUGUCCAAACCCAGUCUGGC
rnacentral:lncRNA from 12 species